rnacentral:rRNA from 1 species
UUAAGCAGGAUGUGAANUCCCCGGGCUCAACCUGGGAACUGCGUUNUGAACUGGGUGACUAGAGUGUGUCAGAGGGAGGUAGAAUUCCACGUGUAGCAGUGAAAUGCGUAGAGAUGUGGAGGAAUACCGAUGGCGAAGGCAGCCUCCUGGGAUAACACUGACGUUCAUGCCCGAAAGCGUGGGUAGCAAACAGGAUUAGAUACCCUGGUAGUNCACGCCCUAAACGAUGUCGAUUAGCUGUUGGGCAGCAUGACUGCUUGGUAGCGAAGCUAACGCGUGAAAUCGACCGCCUGGGGAGUACGGUCGCAAGAUUAAAACUCAAAGGAAUUGACGGGGACCCGCACAAGCGGUGGAUGAUGCGGAUUAAUUCGAUGCAACGCGAAGAACCUUACCUGGUCUUGACAUGUACGGAACCCUCCAGAGACGGAGGGGUGCCUUCGGGAGCCGUAACACAGGUGCUGCAUGGCUGUCGUCAGCUCGUGUCGUGAGAUGUUGGGUUAAGUCCCGCAACGAGCGCAACCCUUGUCAUUAGUUACCAUCAUUAAGUUGGGCACUCUAAUGAGACUGCCGGUGACAAGCCGGAGGAAGGUGGGGAUGACGUCAAGUCCUCAUGGCCCUUAUGACCAGGGCUUCACACGUCAUACAAUGGUCGGUACAGAGGGUAGCCAAGCCGCGAGGUGGAGCCAAUCUCACAAAACCGAUCGUAGUCCGGAUUGCACUCUGCAACUCGAGUGCAUGAAGUCGGAAUCGCUAGUAAUCGCAGGUCAGCAUACUGCGGUGAAUACGUUCCCGGGUCUUGUACACACCGCCCGUCACACCAUGGGAGUGGGGGAUACCAGAAGUAGGUAGGGUAACCGCAAGGAGCCCG